GAUGAACGCUGACAGAAUGCUUAACACAUGCAAGUCUUUGGCGAAGCUGUGCUUGCACAGCCUAGCCAAGGCGGACGGGUGAGUAACGCGUAAGGAACUUGCCCUGCAGUCAGGGAUAACAGACGGAAACGACUGAUAAGACCUGGUAAAGUCAGGCGGACUCAUGUCCAGCCUGAUGAAAAGAGAUGCUGCAGGAGAGCCUUGCGUCCUAUUAGCUUGUUGGUGGGGUAACGGCCCACCAAGGCGAUGAUAGGUAGCCGGCCUGAGAGGGUGGACGGCCACAAGGGGACUGAGAUACGGCCCUGACUCCUACGGGAGGCAGCAGUGGGGAAUAUUGGACAAUGGGGGCAACCCUGAUCCAGCAAUUCUGUGUGCACGAUGAAGGUUUUCGGAUUGUAAAGUGCUUUCAGCAGGGAAGAAAAAAAUGACGGUACCUGCAGAAGAAGCGACGGCUAAAUACGUG
rnacentral:rRNA from 1 species